rnacentral:rRNA from 1 species
UACAGAAGCCUCAAGCGUUACCCGGAUUUACUGGGCGUAAAGGGUGUGUAGGUGGUGUGAUUAGUCUCGCGUCAAAUCUUAGGGCUUAACCCUGAGCGCGCGUGAGAAACGGUCACACUAGAGGAAGUGAGAGGUGUGCGGAACUCAUGGUGUAGGGGUGAAAUCCGUUGAUAUCAUGGGGAACACCAAAAGCGAAGGCAGCACACUGGCACUCUCCUGACACUGAAACACGAAAGCGUGGGUAGCGAAUCGG